CCAACAUUAUUAACAAGUGUGUCGUCCAGGAACGGACACGUUGUCCGAUUGAAGACAAGAUCACAACAAGAAAAGGUUGAAACAGAAGUCAACCAAUAUGUCUGAAGUCAAAAAACAAAUAUUUGUCGGUUUGGCAAACUCAAACAACUCUCCCUAGCUUGUCGGAUCUCUCUCCUUUUUUGGUCUUUUCCAUUUUAGGAAAACAUCUAUACAACAACACAACGUUUCAUUAGACUUUUCAAUUUUCUUUCUCUUUGGGUUCCCAUAAGCAAAAUCUUCCGGCAUCUGUUCUCCGCUAAACACGGAGCAAUAAGGCGGAAGAACCAUUUGUCUUCGGCCGGAAAGAUUUUACCCUUUUUGGUUCUCCGGCCAGAGAUAUGGGAGCCGGUGGAAAAACGUUCAACGCUCACGUGCUCUCGGCCACGUAUCAUCACAAGCACGUGCGUCCUAUGGCCUGCGAGGAGGACUCUGAUCUCCGGAGAGGCAUCGGAGAGCUUCUUUCGCGGUGGGGCGGGCUUCAGAUGGCCGUGAAGAAUAAGUGGGGAGGCCAUGAUUCUCUCGAGAAAUCUCAAGAGCUUGCGCACGAUCUUUUUCAUCUCUUGUCUCAAACAAAUGUGAUAACGGUGGAUGAGAUAGAGAGUUUUCUACAUGAGAGCUUGCUUCUUUCUUUCAACACAGAGAUGGAAGAUGGCAGCAUUGAAGAGGUAGCUGAACAAUUGAUGAUACUUCAUGAAGAGAUCUGUUUGCGUGGGAGUCAUCAUUAAGCCAAAGAUAUCUACAGUUUGAAUGGAUUAAUUAGUUUGGGUGGACUAUUUGAUCGUCCUUUUUGUAUAAUGUAAACCGAUAUGACGCACCAUCUGGUUCCCAUCGCAUCCGCAAGAGUUUUCCAAUGGUUCCCGUGUUUCUUUUGAUGCUCUUUGACGAGUUCCAAAUCCUCUUUACUCCUAUUGUUGCUUGCUUGUGAUAUCCAAGUCAGUCGUUUGAUUGUUUUGUUGUCAAGGCAUGUAAGACUAUAGUUGAGUUUACUCAUGUAAUUACUGAAUCAUCAAAGGAGGCAUUAUACACAUGGUUGACUAUUUUUGGAGUCAGAUUAGACUCACUAGAUACAUGAACUGAAAUAUGAAAAGAGACAGAGACAAUCGAUAACUUCUAUCAAUUGCGCUCAUGGUCAUAACUUCUAUCAAUAUUGCCAUCUUCCAUCUCU